CAAUAGCGUAUAUUUAAGUUGUUGCAGUUAAAAAGCUCGUAGUUGGAUUUCUGGUGGGAGCGAUCGGUCUGGCGCUUAGCGCGAGUACUUGCAUCGUCUCCGGCCAUCCUUGGGGAGAGUCUGUCUGGCAUUAGGUUGUCGGGCAGAGGAUCUUCAUCGUUUACUGUGAAAAAAUUAGAGUGUUCAAAGCAGGCUUAUGCCGUUGAAUAUAUUAGCAUGGAAUAAUAAGAUAGGACUUUGGUACUAUUUUGUUGGUUUGCGCACCAAAGUAAUGAUUAAUAGGGACAGUUGGGGGUAUUCGUAUUCCGUUGUCAGAGGUGAAAUUCUUGGAUUUACGGAAGACGAACUACUGCGAAAGCAUUUACCAAGGAUGUUUUCAUUAA
rnacentral:rRNA from 1 species